rnacentral:rRNA from 1 species
GGUUAAGCGACUAAGCGUACACGGUGGAUGCCCUGGCAGUCAGAGGCGAUGAAGGACGUGCUAAUCUGCGAAAAGCGUCGGUAAGGUGAUAUGAACCGUUAUAACCGGCGAUGUCCGAAUGGGGAAACCCAGUGCAAUUCGUUGCACUAUCGUUAACUGAAUACAUAGGUUAACGAGGCGAACCGGGGGAACUGAAACAUCUAAGUACCCCGAGGAAAAGAAAUCAACCGAGAUUCCCCCAGUAGCGGCGAGCGAACGGGGAGCAGCCCAGAGUCUGAAUCAGCUUGUGUGUUAGUGGAACGGUCUGGAAAGUCCGACGGUACAGGGUGAUAGUCCCGUACACCAAAAUGCACAGGCUGUGAACUCGAAGAGUAGGGCGGGACACGUGGUAUCCUGUCUGAAUAUGGGGGGACCAUCCUCCAAGGCUAAAUACUCCUGACUGACCGAUAGUGAACCAGUACCGUGAGGGAAAGGCGAAAAGAACCCCGGCGAGGGGAGUGAAAAAGAACCUGAAACCGUGUACGUACAAGCAGUGGGAGCACCUUCGGGUGUGACUGCGUACCUUUUGUAUAAUGGGUCAGCGACUUAUAUUCUGUAGCAAGGUUAACCGUAUAGGGGAGCCGCAGGGAAACCGAGUCUUAACUGGGCGUUAAGUUGCAGGGUAUAGACCCGAAACCCGGUGAUCUAGCCAUGGGCAGGUUGAAGGUUGGGUAACACUAACUGGAGGACCGAACCGACUAAUGUUGAAAAAUUAGCGGAUGACUUGUGGCUGGGGGUGAAAGGCCAAUCAAACCGGGAGAUAGCUGGUUCUCCCCGAAAGCUAUUUAGGUAGCGCCUCGUGAAUUCAUCUUCGGGGGUAGAGCACUGUUUCGGCUAGGGGGUCAUCCCGACUUACCAACCCGAUGCAAACUACGAAUACCGAAGAAUGUUAUCACGGGAGACACACGGCGGGUGCUAACGUCCGUCGUGAAGAGGGAAACAACCCAGACCGCCAGCUAAGGUCCCAAAGUCAUGGUUAAGUGGGAAACGAUGUGGGAAGGCACAGACAGCCAGGAUGUUGGCUUAGAAGCAGCCAUCAUUUAAAGAAAGCGUAAUAGCUCACUGGUCGAGUCGGCCUGCGCGGAAGAUGUAACGGGGCUAAACCAUGCACCGAAGCUGCGGCAGCGACACUAUGUGUUGUUGGGUAGGGGAGCGUUCUGUAAGCCUGCGAAGGUGUGCUGUGAGGCAUGCUGGAGGUAUCAGAAGUGCGAAUGCUGACAUAAGUAACGAUAAAGCGGGUGAAAAGCCCGCUCGCCGGAAGACCAAGGGUUCCUGUCCAACGUUAAUCGGGGCAGGGUGAGUCGACCCCUAAGGCGAGGCCGAAAGGCGUAGUCGAUGGGAAACAGGUUAAUAUUCCUGUACUUGGUGUUACUGCGAAGGGGGGACGGAGAAGGCUAUGUUAGCCGGGCGACGGUUGUCCCGGUUUAAGCAUGUAGGCUGGUUGUCCAGGAAAAUCCGGAUAAUCAAGGCUGAGGUGUGAUGACGAGGCACUACGGUGCUGAAGUAACAAAUGCCCUGCUUCCAGGAAAAGCCUCUAAGCAUCAGGUAACAUCAAAUCGUACCCCAAACCGACACAGGUGGUCAGGUAGAGAAUACCAAGGCGCUUGAGAGAACUCGGGUGAAGGAACUAGGCAAAAUGGUGCCGUAACUUCGGGAGAAGGCACGCUGGUGUGUAGGUGAAGUCCCUGCGGAUGGAGCUGAGACCAGUCGAAGAUACCAGCUGGCUGCAACUGUUUAUUAAAAACACAGCACUGUGCAAACACGAAAGUGGACGUAUACGGUGUGACGCCUGCCCGGUGCCGGAAGGUUAAUUGAUGGGGUUAUCCGUAAGGAGAAGCUCUUGAUCGAAGCCCCGGUAAACGGCGGCCGUAACUAUAACGGUCCUAAGGUAGCGAAAUUCCUUGUCGGGUAAGUUCCGACCUGCACGAAUGGCGUAAUGAUGGCCAGGCUGUCUCCACCCGAGACUCAGUGAAAUUGAACUCGCUGUGAAGAUGCAGUGUACCCGCGGCAAGACGGAAAGACCCCGUGAACCUUUACUAUAGCUUGACACUGAACAUUGAGCCUUGAUGUGUAGGAUAGGUGGGAGGCUUUGAAGCGUGGACGCCAGUCUGCGUGGAGCCAACCUUGAAAUACCACCCUUUAAUGUUUGAUGUUCUAACGUUGGCCCCUUACCGGGGUUGCGGACAGUGUCUGGUGGGUAGUUUGACUGGGGCGGUCUCCUCCCAAAGCGUAACGGAGGAGCACGAAGGUUAGCUAAUCCUGGUCGGACAUCAGGAGGUUAGUGCAAUGGCAUAAGCUAGCUUGACUGCGAGCGUGACGGCGCGAGCAGGUGCGAAAGCAGGUCAUAGUGAUCCGGUGGUUCUGAAUGGAAGGGCCAUCGCUCAACGGAUAAAAGGUACUCCGGGGAUAACAGGCUGAUACCGCCCAAGAGUUCAUAUCGACGGCGGUGUUUGGCACCUCGAUGUCGGCUCAUCACAUCCUGGGGCUGAAGUAGGUCCCAAGGGUAUGGCUGUUCGCCAUUUAAAGUGGUACGCGAGCUGGGUUUAGAACGUCGUGAGACAGUUCGGUCCCUAUCUGCCGUGGGCGCUGGAGAAUUGAGGGGGGCUGCUCCUAGUACGAGAGGACCGGAGUGGACGCAUCACUGGUGUUCGGGUUGUCAUGCCAAUGGCACUGCCCGGUAGCUAAAUGCGGAAGAGAUAAGUGCUGAAAGCAUCUAAGCACGAAACUUGCCCCGAGAUGAGUUCUCCCUGAGACUUUAAGUCUCCUGAAGGAACGUUAAAGACGAUGACGUUGAUAGGCCGGGUGUGUAAGCGCAGCGAUGCGUUGAGCUAACCGGUACUAAUGAACCGUGAGGCUUAACCUU